UAAGAAAAGAUUAUUUUAUAGACACCGGGACACUUAAGAGCACAGGUAUAUUUAAAAAAAAGGGGGGGCAGUAUACAAGCUUUGGAAAAUUGAAAGUCCCCAUCAACUCCUUUAAAAAAGACAAAAGACAUAAAACCAUCUCCUCUUCUCUCCAAAACUACUAUCAUUUGAUUUCAAUUAUUUUAAAGAAUACUUACAAUUUUUUAUUUUAUUUAUUUAUUUUGGUUUUUUUGAGACAGGGUUUCUCUGUAGCUUUGGAGCCUGUCCUGGAACUAGCUCUUUUAGACCAGGCUGGUCUUGAACUCACAGAGAUCCGCCUGCCUCUGUCUGAGUGCUGGGAUUAAAGGUGUGCGCUACCACUGCCUGGCAGUACUUACAAUUUUUAAAGGGCAGAUUUAUCUUUGAAAAGAUAGUUUACACUGGGCAAUGGCGGUGCACGCCUUUAUAAUUCCAGCACUUGGGAGGCAGAGGCAGGCCUAUGAGUUUGAGGCCACCUGGUUUACAGAACAAGUUCCAAAGCUACAGAGAAACCCUACUUUGAACACCCCUCCCCUACCAAAAGAUAGUUUACAGAAGAAUUCAAAGAACUCAUCGAGUUUUGUUUGUCUGUAUUGAACGUGUGGAUAAGACAACUGUUAUGUGGAGGAGUUAGUUCUCACCUUCCACAGAUGGUCCUCAGCACUGGGGUUGAACUCAAGGUUUGCAUAGCAAGGGCUUCAUCUACCUUGGAACAAUUAUGUCACUGCUUCAAGUUACUAAUCAAUUCUCUCAUAAAAAGUACCUCAGCCGGGUGGUGGUGGCGGCAUGUCUUUAUUCUCAGCACUCAGGUGGCAGAGGCAGGUGUGCGCCACCACCACCUGGCCUUCUAUAUUCUUUUCAAAAUCUGAAUGUAUACGUGUAUGUGUGCUCUCUCAAUUGUGGAUAUGUGCUUGCCACAGCAUGCAUGCUGAGGUCAGAGGAUGUGCUUGGGUCUUGGUCCUCACCUUCCACUUGAGACAGUCAAUAGUUAUUCAUUACUGUGCGUGUCAGGCUAGCUGGCUUGUGAGCUGCUAGGGAUUCUAUUGUUUCUGCCUCCUAUCUCCCUGUAGGGCACUGGGAUCAAAUAUGGGAGCCAGUGGGCCUGGCUUUUACGUGGGUUCUGAGGUUCGGGGCCUUAACGUUUUCAUGGGAAGCAUAUUACCCACUGAGCCGUCUCACCAACCCACUUGAUAUUCUCCUCUUAGAUUUCUUAAAUAUUAGUAUCUGCCUUUUCCCUCCUCCACAUAUAACAAUAUUUAAUAUAAAGAUUUAAAACCUUUUUUUUAAACUGUGUAGACAACGCUCUAAUACUUAAGUGUGUUUAUCUGGAAAACACUCAUCAAAAAGAGUGGAUUUUAUGAUACAGACCUUAUUCAGAUUUUCCCAACAGUUCCAAAAUGUCAGACAGCAUUUUGGAACCAAAGCAGGACAUGUACCACCCCCUUUCCACUGUGACCCUCACGAGCCUAAUAUGCGGGCAGUGCAACUCCUCCCGCCACAGAAAUUUAAAGCAAACACAAAACCCAAGGAAACCAAACCAUAUCCAGUUUCUUCUAUCUCACGUGCAAUCCCAAAUAAACACAAUCUAGUCUAAGAACUAAGAUCUGAUCAAGAGCGGUCAGCUUUCCUAAAUACACACACACACACACACACACACACACACACACACACACACACACAC